UAAAAACUUGUCACUUUUUAGCUGUCUGCCAUUACAUGAUGUAAUUGAAUGGGACUCUUUUUCAUUUGACUGUUUCUCAUCAGAGCCUACCUGUAUUUUAUCAUCUUCCAUCCUCUCCUCCUUACUAAGACACAGAGAAUCUCCAUGAAAAGAACCUCCCCUAAGGGAUGUCUCUGUCCGAACCACGUGCUCCUCCACCCUUGUCGGCUUUCCUACAGCCCUUAGUUUAAAAACUGCUCUAUGACCUUUUUAAUUUUAAGUGCCAGAAUUCUGGUUCCAUUUUAGUGGAGCCAAUCCUUCCUGUAUAGGCUGCCCCUUUCCCAAAAGUUUCCCACAAUUCCCAAAUGGUUUUUAUGAUAUCACCACAAAUUGCUACAUAUUGCAAUAUCAACAAUAUUAAGUCCAUCCAAAGUCUUGUAAUCUGUUUAACACUUGAUUAAUGGGCCUCUGCAAAGUGAUUCCUGCAUUAAUGAACCCAAAAGGUAACACUUUGUACUCACAAAGUUCCAUCCUUUAGACAGCAAAGCAUGGAGAAAAUCUACUUUCAAUAGCCUUUAACCAACCUAGGUAUUUUGCCUUGCCUAAAGUAUUUAACAUAUCAAUUCUGGGCAUAGGAUAGUUGUCAGAUACUGUGACAGCAUUAAGCUUUCUAUAAUCAACACAAAACCUUAUAGUCCCAGCUCCCUUAGGAACCAUAACAACUAGUGAGGUGCAGGAACUGUCCGACUCUAAUAUCUCCAUUUCCAACAUACUGUGUAUUUCUUUACGAACCUGCUCCCUCAUUUCUUCAGUGGUUUGGGAGGCUCUAUUCGAGGCAGGCUGAGGUCCCAGUACCAAUGAGAGACCAUCUUCUCUGUCAAACCAGGCAUGCUAGAGACAGGGCCGGAUUAACUUUUUGUGGGCCCGGCACCAAACAUGUUUGUGGGCCCCCAUGUGGUUGUGAUGAGCCCCUUCCUAGUGUGGGCCCAGUGUGACAGCACCAUUGAUGGCAUAGUAAAUGUGGUGUUGCUGGGAUGGGAAUGAAAACAUUUAUUCAAAAA